GUUUGAGGCAUUAUGGGAAGGUUAAGGAUCCAAGUGUGGAGAAUUUGUUGCCUGAUUUUGAUUUUGAUCAUACUGUUGGGAGGAGGUUGAUGUCGAGUAGUGGAGCGAGGACGGUUGUUUUGAUGGUGGUUGAUGCAUCUGAUUUCGAUGGAUCUUUUCCUAGGAAAGUAGCUCAGUUAGUUUCUAGGACAAUUGAAGAGAAC
rnacentral:misc_RNA from 1 species